UGAAACUGUAGAGCAGGCUGGUCU
rnacentral:piRNA from 1 species